rnacentral:rRNA from 1 species
CAGCACGGAUGGUAGCAAUACCAUUGGGUGGCGAGUGGCGGACGGGUGAGUAACGCGUAGGAAUCUACCCUAGAGAUGGGGAUAACUUGGGGAAACUCAAGCUAAUACUGAAUACACCUACGGGGUAAAGGUUGCGAAAGCAGUCGCUUUAGGAUGAGCCUGCGUUAGAUUAGCUAGUUGGUGGGGUAAUGGCCUACCAAGCCGACGAUCCAUAGCUGGUUUGAGAGGAUGAUCAGCCACACUGGGACUGAGACACGGCCCAGACUCC